AACGAACGCUGGCGGCAUGCCUAACACAUGCAAGUCGAACGGGAUCCAGGCUUCGGCCUGGUGAGAGUGGCGGACGGGUGAGUAACACGUGGGAACCUGCCUUUUGGUUCGGGAUAACCGCGGGAAACUGCGGCUAAUACCGGAUGCUCCCGAGAGGGGAAAGAUUUAUCGCCAGAAGAGGGGCCCGCGUCCGAUUAGGUAGUUGGUGAGGUAAUGGCUCACCAAGCCGACGAUCGGUAGCUGGUCUGAGAGGAUGAUCAGCCACACUGGGACUGAGAUACGGCCCAGACUCCUACGGGAGGCAGCAGUGGGGAAUAUUGGACAAUGGGGGCGAACCCUGAUCCAGCAAUGCCGCGUGAGUGAUGAAGGCCUUAGGGUUGUAAAGCUCUUUUGCCAGGGAAGAUGAUGACUGUACCUGGAGAAUAAGACCCCGGCUAACCUUCGUGCCAGCAGCCGCGGU
rnacentral:rRNA from 1 species